rnacentral:rRNA from 1 species
GACUUUCGGCAAUGGAUAGCUCAAAUCUCACAUCGAUGGAAAAUAUAGCAAAAUGCGAUACUUGGUGUUAAUUGCAAAAUCCCGUGAACCACCGAUUCUUUGAAUUCAAGUUGUACUAGAAGAUAUUAGGCCGAGGGCACGUCUGCCUGAGCAUCA